rnacentral:rRNA from 1 species
AAAUGAAUUGACGGGGGCCCGCACAAGCGGAGGAACAUGUGGUUUAAUUCGAUGAUACGCGAGGAACCUUACCUGGGCUUAAAUGGGGAGUGACGUUUGCUGAAAGGUGAAUUUCUUCGGACACUCUUCAAGGUGCUGCAUGGUUGUCGUCAGCUCGUGCCGUGAGGUGUCGGGUUAAGUCCCAUAACGAGCGCAACCCUUGCUGUUAGUUGCCAGCGCGUAAAGGCGGGGACUCUAGCGGGACUGCCACCGUAAGGUGAGAGGAAGGUGGGGAUGACGUCAAAUCAGCACGGCCCUUAUGUCCAGGGCUACACACGUGUUACAAUGGCCGGUACAAAGGGCAGCUACACUGCGAAGUGAUGCAAAUCCUGAAAGCCGGUCUCAGUUCGGAUCGAAGUCUGCAACCCGACUUCGUGAAGUUGGAUUCGCUAGUAAUCGCGCAUCAGCCAUGGCGCGGUGAAUACGUUCCCGGGCCUUGUACACACCGCCCGU